ACAAAAUUAUUCACAUAUAAGUUCAACGUUGGAUUAAGGAUCCAAUAUGUUUUAUUUGACUAAAUUACAUAUUUCACAUGAUUUGGAAAACUUCAUAGAAGUAUUAAAUGUAGAAUAUGUUAAACUAGCCACACUUUAUGAAUGAACUCCCAGAACGAGUAAGUGCAAUAUUCUGUUGUGAGAAUAGACAGUUGAUGCAGGUGAGUUUGGCUUUACUAGACUUCCAUCAACG
rnacentral:lncRNA from 1 species